UCCUUGGUGGUCUAGUGGUAAAGACGCCACUCUUCCACUGCAGGGGGCACAGGUUCAAUCCCUGGUUGGGGAA
rnacentral:tRNA from 1 species